rnacentral:rRNA from 1 species
GACGAACGCUGGCGGCGUGCUUAACACAUGCAAGUCGAACGGAAAGGCCCUGCUUUUGUGGGGUGCUCGAGUGGCGAACGGGUGAGUAACACGUGAGUAACCUGCCCUUGACUUUGGGAUAACUUCAGGAAACUGGGGCUAAUACCGGAUAGGAGCUCCUGCUGCAUGGUGGGGGUUGGAAAGUUUCGGCGGUUGGGGAUGGACUCGCGGCUUAUCAGCUUGUUGGUGGGGUAGUGGCUUACCAAGGCUUUGACGGGUAGCCGGCCUGAGAGGGUGGCCGGCGACAUUAGGACUGAGAUACGGCCCAGACUCCUACGUGAGGCAGCAGGGGGGAAUAUUGCACAAUGAGCGGAAGCGAGAGACAGCAACGCUGCGUGCGGGAAGACGGCCUUCGGGUUGUAAACCGCUUUCGCCUGAGACGAAGCGUGAAUGACGGUAAUGGGUAAAGAAGCACCGGCUAACUACGUG